CGGCGAGUCCUGUACGAUCAGCUCCCGCCAAAUCCCCCAGGGCCGGAAGGCAGCAAGGGUAGGCCGGUUGUAGCGAUGCGAUACGGGGUGCUCGCCACCU
rnacentral:SRP_RNA from 2 species